CCUAAAUCUAAUGCUACACAGACAAGCGGAGCCUCCAUCUUGCGCUGCUCCGCGUUCUCCAUUUUGGGCCACCAAUUGGGGGGGUCCUCCGUAGAGGCCCCGAGGGAGAGUGGGGCGAGGGAAGGAAGAGAAAAUCUUCGGCGAGGGUAGUCCAAAAGAAGAGUCCUGCGGUAGAAAGCCACUCUAAGAGUAGGAGGCUGGCCCCGCUGGGGGCAAAGGAAGAAGACGGGGAAUUAAAUGGCAACGGAGCGCCCAAUCGCUUUCCCUCCCAACUCCUCUCCCGCGCCCUAUUUCAACCAUACACACCUCACGAUGUUUGAAGUGCGAAAGGACCUCUUCCGCUCCUUGGAUUCCAGUUAACUUAGGACUCAUUCAAAAAUACUGACUGAGUCUUCAGUAUGUGCAGAACACAGUGCUGUGUGCUCCAGUCCUAUCCUAAGAAGUGGAAUUUAUUUCAUAUGGUACUGAAAGACCACAGUACACCCCAGUAAUUUGAGGACGAUGUGAGAAAUGCCAUCAAAUGAAAUAUGUAACUGAUAUAAAAUAAGUUUUAGCCCUGGCUGGUGUGGCUCAGUGGAUUGAGUCGACCUGCCAACCAAAGGGUCACUGGUCUGAUUCCCAGUCAGGGCACAUGCCUGGGUUG